CGCGUAGGCGGAUUGCACAGUCGGGCGUGAAAUUCCUGGGCUUAACCUGGGGGCUGCGUUCGAGACGUGUGGUCUGGAGUGCGGAAGAGGGUCGUGGAAUUCCCAGUGUAGAGGUGAAAUUCGUAGAUAUUGGGAAGAACACCGGUGGCGAAGGCGGCGACCUGGUCCGUGACUGACGCUGAGGCGCGAAAGCGUGGGGAGCAAACA
rnacentral:rRNA from 1 species